ensembl:misc_RNA 7SK 7SK RNA
GGAUAUGAGGGCAAUCUGGCUGGGAUAUCCAUUACCCCAUUGACCAUAGAGUCUUUGGGCUGAUCUGGCUAAGGAGGUAGGUGCUCCCUCCUUCCCCCAUUGUUCCGUGUGCAUUCCUCCCAAAGCUACACAUUUCAUCACAUGGGCUAACCUUUCCCUAUAGAGGAGGGAUAUUCUUAGGUCAAAGGCAAUCAAGCAGCUCUUCUCCUCUAAUGGAACAUCCUCAAAGCUCUUGUCCAAAAGAUGGAAGCAAUUCAUCUUUAUCAACCAGCAGGUGAAAAUAUAGAAUUU